rnacentral:lncRNA from 1 species
GCAGGCCGGGCCCUCCCGGUGUGGUUAAAUGAAUGGUAACACGCAUGGCUCGUCCGCCUCUCUGCUUCCUCUAGAUAUCCUUUGGCUGUUUUCAUCGCUCGUGUUUAUUUCCUACUACCAUCAAGAGUAGUAGCUCGUGACAGCCUUAAGCAUCUCGGUAAAAAUAAGGGCGUCUUUGAGGCAUUUGCUGGACUCACAGGAGCGGAACCAGGUUUCCAAAUGGUAUUGUUUACGACAAUACUCAAUACUGCGCUCCUGCUCUUUGCCUAGAGGUAAACGUGUCCCCGAGGCCAGAUGUUCUCCUAUUGUGCGCAGGCCCAUUGACUUGGAGUCUUGCUUUAGGGAUAGGAUCUCCGUUUUACUCAGAAGGGUUGAAGGGUGAAGGUGUCCUCUCCUUGGGCUUUGCUCCUAUUCACAUGAAGCAAACAGCUGUGGGACGGUGGAGAAAGAGCAAUUAGGGAGAAGGAUAUUUAUAAUCCCUCAAAGGGGCAAAAUAGAAUAAGAGACCCAAAAGAGAUUAUUUGAGGUGUUAAAGGUAAAUAGAGGCGACAAAACUGCUUAUAAUAAAAAUUAUUUUAGAAGAGCUUAAAUACCUGUCCCAUACUUGUAUAUAACACUGCUACAGUUGUAAACCAUAGCAAUCUCUUUUGAAUGAAUGACGAGUUCAGACCAAGGGCCUUUUAUUCAGUUUACCCAGUUUCAUUAUUGUAGUUCAUCAUUCUUUAAAUCCUUCAAGCCAGUCUUACAAAUAAGCACAAAAAAUGAAAAAUUACCAGCCCUGAAAUGUUUUAUUAGUUUGCGCCUCCCCAAGGCUACAUAAUGUUAUGCAAGUGAGAGACCAUGAAAUCAAUAAAAUCUCCUAGUUUUCUGCUGGCCAGUCCGAAUGGCUAUUGGCCCUGAGCACAAAAGUCCACAAGGACUGGUAAGGUCGAUUUUGUGCUAUUUUGGUUUCCACGGGCUGAAUUUCAAAAUUCAACAGGAAGCACUGGCAGAUAGCAGAUCCUUGGGCUUCGGAUUUAUUUGUUUCUCUUGUUUUACAGAAAGACCAGCCUCAGUGACAGUCACAAUUUUUCUAGCUGAUCGCAUACAAGGCAGCGUUCUGCAUAAAAAGGCAAUGGCUAACCCAAGACAGAGUAACUUACAGACCCCAGAAGCCGAGCAGGAGCUGCACUACGACCUGAAAAAGGGCCCACACAUCUGAGGCCUGGCACAGGGCAAGGAAACAUACCCAUGAGGCGACAGAAUAGAGUUUUCUUGUUGGCUUUUGGGAAGAAAUAAAUAUUUUUUGAACAGUGACAUAACUUGGACUUCUCCCACUUGAGACAAAACUUGAGAACUUGCUCCCAGAUCUGGGGGAGAAAUUACAUUAAGGAGGAGGAUUCCACCUCCAAUAUCAGCCCUGAAAGGAAGUGAGAAUCCUGCCGGCAUUCGCAGCCUGGACAUCUGGAAAACUUUGCUGUUCUGACCAGAGCUUGCCACUCUAAUCCUCUGAUCUCUUGACAGUGGUUCUGAUCCCACUGCCAGCAAGAAACAGUGCCUGCUGCAUUUGGGGAUGGGGGAUAAGGAGAGGGCUUGGUAGACUGUCAUUGGAAGAUCAUGAGAAGAGAUCUCCAUAUUUUAUGGUUAUCUAGACAAUGAAUCUGAUCUCAAUUUAUCAGGAUUACUUGACCUCAGUGGCAUGCGUUUUCUCCCUUGGUUUCAAUGAGUGGACUGCCCCCUGGUGGACAAGAACUGUCAGCUCACAUGAAAGUUAGCAUGCUUUUGUAAUUUCAGGCCAUAGUCUGAAUUAUUUUUCUUCAAUUAAUAUGAAUUAUAUCCCAUGAACAAUAAGAACUGAAUUCAUAAUAUGUCAAAUUCAAUAAAAAAACAGAACUCUAAGAUUCCUCCAGAUAUUCAUGGAAUACCCUCAAUUAUGAGGUAUUUACCAAAUAUCAAUAAAAAGCACAAAGAUUGGACCAGAUUGUCAGUGGAUUCUAAGAAUAUUUAUGCAAACCCUAAGAUUC